CGUUUGGGAGUGAAAUUACAAUAUUAUCGCCAAGAAGAAUUUGAGAAUGAUGACAAAAAUUCCCUGACUUUUCCCUGACUUUUUAAUAAAUUGCAAAUUUCCCUGACUAAAAUCCAAAUUCCCUGACAAUUCCCUGACCUUGAAAAAAAAUCAGAAUUCCCUGACUUUUCCCUGACCGUGGGAACCCUGUUGCAGCAAAGAAAAAAAAAUCUAGAUAGAAAUCGAGAAGUUACAGGGUCAUCUGUAAAGAAUGUUUAAGGGUGUCUGGCAUGGAAAUACUUAUGCAACAAGUGACAAACCAAAGGUUAAAUGAACCCCUUAUCGACUCCCCAUAUCAUGUACUUAAGAAUGCUCAAGACUUAACCUGAUGAGCGCUAAGAACCAGUGUCUAAAUCCUUUAUUCUACUCUCUGUAGACCUGCUAGACAAAUGAUCACUUCCCAGUAUAAGCACGAAGCUAAACAAUCCAUGUUUGAGCUCCAGAAGUACAUUUGUUGUUUCUCAAGCGGUAAAAAGAAAGCGAUAGUUUAUAAUAGUCAUUCUGUGGAUGGAUCUGAUUAUUGAUAAGUUAAACUUACAUUCCAUACGAUGUAAUAAACACUCGCAUGUGUUCCAAUAGGCUCACAACCUCAAGCGAAUGAGUAGUUCCACAAAUAUUAAAACAAGCUAGUUGAAGCUAAUGAAUCAUACAGUGAUUCUGGAACUCAACUACGUAAUUUAAAAAACAUCCUUUUGCCUAUGGAAUGACAAUGAAAUAAAUAAAAUAAUUUCUCGCAAUCUCACUCCGCAGUCUUCUGCAAAUGACCUGCUCCAAAAACAUUUUAAUAAAGAAUACUCUGAAUGUUACCCAGCGAGAGAAUCUCUUUUUCACUCUCCUUCUGCCAGCAGGUGAUAUUUGUAUUUCUGACCUGAGCUGGUAUUGAUGGCCAACGAAGCUUCCUCUAUCAUCAACACAACGCCAAACCCAACCAAGGCGAACGCGAAACGACAGUCCAUUGAAGAAGUUUUCCAAUAGAUGUACGUUAUAAUUCACAAAUCUGUGGUUUCACUUGGUAGCCUCGAUUCACAGACUUCCUGCGAAGAUAUCAAAUUAAUUAAUAUAUUUUAUGCUCACACUCCGCCAACAGUUAUCAAUAAACGUAACGUUCAGUUAA